UCCUAUGGAUGAGCAAAGAAAGUGGUUUCUUGAGAUGGAAUCCGCUCCCAGUGAAGAUGCUGUGAG
rnacentral:pre_miRNA from 1 species